rnacentral:rRNA from 1 species
UACGAAGGGGGCUAGCGUUGCUCGGAAUCACUGGGCGUAAAGCGCACGUAGGCGGCUUCUUAAGUCAGGGGUGAAAUCCUGGAGCUCAACUCCAGAACUGCCUUUGAUACUGGCAAUCUCGAGUCCGGGAGAGGUGAGUGGAACUGCGAGUGUAGAGGUGAAAUUCGUAGAUAUUCGCAAGAACACCAGUGGCGAAGGCGGCUCACUGGCCCGGUACUGACGCUGAGGUGCGAAAGCGUGGGGAGCAAACAGG